GAUGAACGCUGACAGAAUGCUUAACACAUGCAAGUCAACUUGAACUUCGGUUUGGGUGGCGGACGGGUGAGUAACGCGUAAAGAACUUGCCUCACAGCUAGGGACACCAUUUGGAAACGAAUGCUAAUACCUGAUAUUAUUAUUAUAUGGCAUCGUAUAAUUAUGAAAGCUAUAUGCGCUGUGAGAGAGCUUUGCGUCCCAUUAGCUAGUUGGAGAGGUAACAGCUCACCAAGGCGAUGAUGGGUAGCCGGCCUGAGAGGGUGAUCGGCCACAAGGGGACUGAGACACGGCCCUUACUCCUACGGGAGGCAGCAGUGGGGAAUAUUGGACAAUGGACCGAGAGUCUGAUCCAGCAAUUCUGUGUGCACGAUGAAGUUUUUCGGAAUGUAAAGGGCUUUCAGUUGGGAAGAAAAAAAUGACGGUACCAACAGAAGAAGAGACGGCUAAAUACGUG
rnacentral:rRNA from 1 species